CGGGGGGGGCAAGCGUUGUUCGGAAUUACUGGGCGUAAAGGGCUCGUAGGCGGCCAACUAAGUCAGACGUGAAAUCCCUCGGCUUAACCGGGGGACUGCGUCUGAUACUGGAUGGCUCGAGUUUGGGAGAGGGAUGCGGAAUUCCAGGUGUAGCGGUGAAAUGCGUAGAUACCUGGAGGAACACCGGUGGCGAAGGCGGCAUCCUGGACCAACACUGACGCUGAGUGAGCGAAAGCCAGGGGAGCAAACGGGAUUAGAUACCCCGGUAGUCCUGGCCCUAAACGAUGAAUGCUUGGUGUGGCGGGUAUCGAUCCCUGCCGUGCCGAAGCUAACGCAUUAAGCAUUCCGCCUGGGGAGUACGGUCGCAAGGCUG
rnacentral:rRNA from 1 species